rnacentral:rRNA from 1 species
UGCGUAGGUGGAUUAAUAAGUCAGUGGUGAAAGCCUGCAGCUUAACUGUAGAACUGCCAUUGAUACUGUUAGUCUUGAAUGUAGUUGAGGUGGGCGGAAUAUGACAUGUAGCGGUGAAAUGCUUAGAUAUGUCAUAGAACACCGAUUGCGAAGGCAGCUCACUAAGCUAUAAUUGACAUUGAGGCACGAAAGCGUGGGAGCAAACA